rnacentral:rRNA from 1 species
UAGGGAAUCUUCGGCAAUGGACGGAAGUCUGACCGAGCAACGCCGCGUGAGUGAAGAAGGUUUUCGGAUCGUAAAGCUCUGUUGUAAGAGAAGAACGAGUGUGAGAGUGGAAAGUUCACACUGUGAGGGUAUCUUACCUUAAGGGACGGCUAACUACUUGCCAGCAGCCCCGGUAAUACGUAUGUCCCGAGCGUUGUCCGGAUUUAUUGGGCGUAUUGCGAGCGCAGGCGGUUAGAUAAGUCUGAAAAAANNNUCUGAAGUUAAAGGCUGUGGCUUAACCAUAGUACGCUUUGGAAACUGUUUAACUUGAGUGCAAGAGGGGAGAGUGGAAUUCCAUGUGUAGCGGUGAAAUGCGUAGAUAUAUGGAGGAACACCGGUGGCNAAAAGCGGCUCUCUGGCUUGGNNNNACCCUNAUGCUCNANAANNCGUGGGGGAGCAAACAGGAUUAGAUACCCUGGUAGUCCACGCCGUANCGAUGAGUGCUAGGUGUUAGACCCUUUCCGGGGUUUAGUGCCGCAGCUAACGCAUUAAGCACUCCGCCUGGGGAGUACGACCGCAAGGUUG